rnacentral:siRNA from 1 species
CCAUCCACUGCUGUAAGAGGG